GUGCCAGCAGCCGCGGUAAUACGGAGGAUCCAAGCGUUAUCCGGAUUUAUUGGGUUUAAAGGGUGCGUAGGCGGACUUAUAAGUCAGCGGUGAAAGUUUGCAGCUCAACUGUAAAAUUGCCGUUGAAACUGUUAGUCUUGAGUGUAAAUGAGGUAGGCGGAAUGUGUUGUGUAGCGGUGAAAUGCUUAGAUAUAACACAGAACACCAAUUGCGAAGGCAGCUUACUGGGAUACAACUGACGCUGAGGCACGAAAGCGUGGGGAUCAAACAGGAUUAGAUACCCUGGUAGUCCACGCAGUAAACGAUGAAUACUAGCUGUAUGCGAUAUACUGUAUGUGGCAAAGCGAAAGCGUUAAGUAUUCCACCUGGGGAGUACGUUCGCAAGAAUGAAACUCAAAUGAAUUGGCGG
rnacentral:rRNA from 1 species